AAGUCGUAACAAGGUUUCCGUAGGUGAACCUGCGGAAGGAUCAUUAACACAACGUUAGUUUCUAUGGGGAAACUCAUAGGAACUAAUACACCAACUCGUGAACUUGUUUCUUGACAUGUAUCUCUCUCGGGGGAUAUGUGUUGAACUCUCUCAUUGACAUGGAUGACUCUAGGAUGGGGUAGACAUCGACUGGCUUUCAUGGUUAAGCUGGUCCAUAUGGGUCCCGGAGUCGCCGUUGAACAUGUCUGUGUCAGUGAGAUUUGUCAAGACUACCUUGGUCGAAAGGCCGAACCUUUUUUUCACCCCUUUCACCCCUCUUCUAGUAUAUCAUUUGUCUUAUUCUACAUCCUCGGUCGAAAGGCCCUGGAUCUGCAAAGAUAUUUGCAACGCGAACAACUCUUAGCAAUGGAUAUCUUGGCUCUG
rnacentral:misc_RNA from 1 species